rnacentral:SRP_RNA from 1 species
GUGCGGGCUAGCCUGGAGGGUUCGACGUCCUUUGUCACUCGAAAUCGCCGAUAUGCGAGAGGCGAAGCUUGAGUAAGGCACUGUAGCUGUUAGUUUCAGCUUGGAGUCCAACGAAGAAGCAUCGUCCUGCGGGGUUGACGGUAGUAUGGUGCCAAGCCGGAGGGUUUGUUGCCAUGCCUUUGCUAUGGAUACCGGUUUAGGCCCGGAAGGGAGCAGACUUACCGUAGACGGUUGGCGCUCGUAGGGUAGCGAUGUGGAGGAAGACUUUGAGGGCCUGACUGACGGUGAAAGUGUCGAACGAGAGCGCGCCCGCAC